UACGUAGGGUGCGAGCGUUGUCCGGAAUUACUGGGCGUAAGGAGCUCGUAGGUGGUUUGUCGCGUUGUUCGUGAAAACCGGGGGCUUAACCCUCGGCGUGCGGGCGAUACGGGCAGACUGGAGUACUGCAGGGGAGACUGGAAUUCCUGGUGUAGCGGUGGAAUGCGCAGAUAUCAGGAGGAACACCGGUGGCGAAGGCGGGUCUCUGGGCAGUAACUGACGCUGAGGAGCGAAAGCGUGGGGAGCGAACAGG
rnacentral:rRNA from 1 species